UACAGAGGUCUCAAGCGUUGUUCGGAUUCAUUGGGCGUAAAGGGUGCGUAGGCGGCGCGGUAAGUCGGGUGUGAAAUCUUGGAGCUUAACUCCGAAACUGCAUUCGAUGCUGCCGUGCUUGAGGACUGGAGAGGAGACUGGAAUUUACGGUGUAGCGGUGAAAUGCGUAGAUAUCUGGAGGAACACCGGUGGCGAAGGCGGCAUCCUGGACCGGUAUUGACGCUGAGGCGCGAAAGCCAGGGGAGCAAACGGG
rnacentral:rRNA from 1 species